CCUCCCAUCCGUGUCUAUUGUACCCUGUUGCUUCGGCGGGCCCGCCGCUUGUCGGCCGCCGGGGGGGCGCCUCUGCCCCCCGGGCCCGUGCCCGCCGGAGACCCCAACACGAACACUGUCUGAAAGCGUGCAGUCUGAGUUGAUUGAAUGCAAUCAGUUAAAACUUUCAACAAUGGAUCUCUUGGUUCCGGCAUCGAUGAAGAACGCAGCGAAAUGCGAUAACUAAUGUGAAUUGCAGAAUUCAGUGAAUCAUCGAGUCUUUGAACGCACAUUGCGCCCCCUGGUAUUCCGGGGGGCAUGCCUGUCCGAGCGUCAUUGCUGCCCUCAAGCCCGGCUUGUGUGUUGGGUCGCCGUCCCCCUCUCCGGGGGGACGGGCCCGAAAGGCAGCGGCGGCACCGCGUCCGAUCCUCGAGCGUAUGGGGCUUUGUCACAUGCUCUGUAGGAUUGGCCGGCGCCUGCCGACGUUUUCCAACCAUUCUUUCCAGGUUGACCUCGGAUCAGGUAGGGAUACCCGCUGAACUUAAGCAUAUCAAUAAGGCGGAGGAA
rnacentral:rRNA from 1 species